rnacentral:ncRNA from 1 species
UAAAUGUUUGAUUCGGGUUUAUAUCCUUUGUUGUAUUAUUAGGGUCCCAUGAAAUUUAUUAUAUAAAAAAAGUAAAUUAAUUUUAUAUUAAUUAUUUUAGGUAAUAUAAAGUAACUUAAUAUUUAUUUUCAUUCUCACUGUAAGAUUUUAUUUAAAUAUAUGAAAAUAUGAGCUAGUGAUGAAUAUGAAUUAAUAAAUCUGAUAAAAUAUUUGUGCCAGCAUUCCCGGUUAAACUUUAAGAUUAAGUAAAGAAAUAAUAUUAAAAAGUUAUUUGUUAAAAGUAUUAAAUAAAAAUUUCAAUUAUUAAUAGGUGAAAUUAUUAUUAUUUUGUAAGUUUAAAUUAUAUUUUAAGGAAGCUAAUAAGCUUUAAGGAUAAACUAGGAUUAGAUACCCUAUUAUAUUAAAGUUAAAUAAAUAAAUAUUGAAUUACUAGUAGGUAUAGCUUAAAACUUUAAGAAUUUGGCGGUAAUUUAGUCUUGUCAGAGGAACCUGUUUAAAAUUAAUCGAUACACCUCGCAAUAUCUUACUUAUUUUAUAGUUUGUAUACCAUCAUUAUUAGAUAAUUUUUAAAGAAUAAAUUAUUAACUUGAAUUAUUAAAAAAAUUAGAUCAAGGUGCCGCUUAUCAAUAAGUUUAAAUGGGUUACAAUAAAUUCUAUUUAAACGAAGUAGAUUAGUAAGUUUAAUUUAGGAAGGAGGAUUUGAUUGUAAUAUAAGUUUAAUAAGCUUAUAAGAUAAGGGCUCUAAAUUAUGUACAUAUCGCCCGUCGCUUUCAUUACUUAAUGAGAUAAGUCGUAACAUAGUAGGUAUACUGGAAAGUGUAUCUGGAAUUG